rnacentral:rRNA from 1 species
UACGAAGGGGGCUAGCGUUGUUCGGAAUUACUGGGCGUAAAGCGUAUGCAGGCGGACUUUUAAGUCGGGGGUGAAAUCCCGAGGCUCAACCUCGGAACUGCCUUCGAUACUGGAAGUCUUGAGUCCGGGAGAGGUGAGUGGAACUCCGAGUGUAGAGGUGAAAUUCGUAGAUAUUCGGAAGAACACCAGUGGCGAAGGCGGCUCACUGGCCCGGUACUGACGCUGAGAUACGAAAGCGUGGGGAGCAAACAGGG